CUUUGUCUUUAAGAGAUAUUGCAAAUUGACAAGGUGUUAGAAAUGGAACAUAUAUUUUUUCAUAGAUGUUUCUUUAAGCAAUAACCUCAUAAUAUGUUUGCGCCAUUUUGUCCCAGACGAAUUACAAUAACAAUAAUGCAUAAACAAGCUUCAAGGCUAUACUACGACACUUGCAGUACACAAUAUACUGUGGUAACCCCAAGUUAAUGGAACUUCCCCAAAUCUGGGAAUCUCCCACGACUGUGCACUUACGACUUAGUAUAAACAACAGAUAACCUAUUUAGACUUUAAGAUGCCAUCUUGAACUAAGUCAGGAAAAUUUCCAUGAUGUUUGCACCCUUUAGUUAUGGCCUUGUAUGUUUGCCAAAUUAAAGGAGGUCCUAAAAUGAAUAAAGUAAAUGAACUACGGUAACCCUAAAAUGGAGACACCUAAGGUAUAAAUAGGUGUACUUUUAAAUGUUAAGACACAGAGGAGAGACUUGGAGACAGACGCUACUCCAUCUUAAAAUGACAGAGAGUCUGACAUGAUGACAUGUUCAGAAGGGUAUGUUAACCUAUUAAUGAUAUUUGCAAGCAUUUAGUUUAAUCUUAUAAACUCUGCUAUAAUGGAU
rnacentral:lncRNA from 1 species